AGAGUUUGAUCAUGGCUCAGGACGAACGCUGGCGGCGUGCUUAACACAUGCAAGUCGAACGGAAAGGCCCUUCGGGGUACUCGAGUGGCGAACGGGUGAGUAACACGUGGGUGAUCUGCCCUGCACUCUGGGAUAAGCCUGGGAAACUGGGUCUAAUACCGGAUAGGACCACACACUUCAUGGUGAGUGGUGCAAAGCUUUUGCGGUGUGGGAUGAGCCCGCGGCCUAUCAGCUUGUUGGUGGGGUAAUGGCCCACCAAGGCGACGACGGGUAGCCGGCCUGAGAGGGUGACCGGCCACACUGGGACUGAGAUACGGCCCAGACUCCUACGGGAGGCAGCAGUGGGGAAUAUUGCACAAUGGGCGCAAGCCUGAUGCAGCGACGCCGCGUGAGGGAUGACGGCCUUCGGGUUGUAAACCUCUUUCAGUAGGGACGAAGCGAAAGUGACGGUACCUAUAGAAGAAGGACCGGCCAACUACGUGCCAGCAGCCGCGGUAAUACGUAGGGUGCGAGCGUUGUCCGGAAUUACUGGGCGUAAAGAGCUCGUAGGUGGUUUGUCGCGUUGUUCGUGAAAUCUCACGGCUUAACUCUGAGCGUGCGGGCGAUACGGGCAGACUUGAGUACUGCAGGGGAGACUGGAAUUCCUGGUGUAGCGGUGGAAUGCGCAGAUAUCAGGAGGAACACCGGUGGCGAAGGCGGGUCUCUGGGCAGUAACUGACGCUGAGGAGCGAAAGCGUGGGGAGCGAACAGGAUUAGAUACCCCGGUAGUCCAA
rnacentral:rRNA from 1 species